CCCAGAGGCACUUCCACACUAAACUAACCAAUCACAGAGCACAAGACACACCUGCUCAUAGAAGAAGGGCAGGGAUUGGUCACAGUGUAAAAAUGACACCUGGGCAGGGCUCCAAGGUGUACCUGAAAACCUAGAUGUUUUGUAGGAACGGUUUCUUCGCUUCAGGAGGUUUAGGAGAUUAUGUUUCUUCUCGUGUUUGAGACUCCAUUAGUAAUGUCCUUGUGUCUUCUUCAGCCCGGUUCGAGAGGUUUGGCCUAACGUGGAAGGAGCAGUCAUACCUAUAUCAAGAGGAAGGAGCAGGAAGUGAUCUUUCUCAGCUAAAGCGACGCUGCGACACAAUGGCAUCUCUUGUCCAUGACUCCAUACUGAAUGACUACAACAGGAAUUGAUAGGUCACAUGACAUCAGACCCUUUCUUCUGCCUCUCCGCUGCAGUAAAAUCCUUCGAUUUGUGUCUUACCAGGCAAGUUUAGAUGUUGAUACUCUGUCUAAUACUGCCUGGUAAUGCCAUCAAUCACAAGGAAUAUGAUCAACAUUUAUCCUUUUCCCAAUGUUGCGACACUGAUAUAGUUAUUGAUUUAUUUAUUUACUUUUUACUCGUGUUUAGAAUUGCUAUCUAAAAACAGUAUUCACUACCUGAUUUUCUUAUUGACAUGUAUUAAAAAAUAUGGCUCUCACUGUUCCUUGUUGUAUGCUUUUUUUUUAAUGUACAUGUAAAUCUAUCCUGUACUUUAGUCAAUAAACACAAUAAAACAGAAUUACAUUCAAA